rnacentral:rRNA from 1 species
CUAAGGAAUAGCCACUGGAAACGGUGAGUAAUACCUUAUACGCCUUCGGGGGAAAGAUUUAUCGGAGAAGGAUCGGCCCGCGUUAGAUUAGAUAGUUGGUGGGGUAACGGCCUACCAAGUCUACGAUCUAUAGCUGGUUUUAGAGGAUGAUCAGCAACACUGGGACUGAGACACGGCCCAGACUCCUACGGGAGGCAGCAGUGGGGAAUCUUGGACAAUGGGCGCAAGCCUGAUCCAGCCAUGCCGCGUGAGUGAUGAAGGCCUUAGGGUCGUAAAGCUCUUUCGCUGGGGAUGAUAAUGACAGUACCCAGUAAAGAAACCCCGGCUAACUCCGUG